UAGCAUUAUACCGUGAAACUGCGAAUGGCUCAUUAAAUCAGUUAUCGUUUAUUUGAUAGUACCUUACUACUUGGAUAACCGUGGUAAUUCUAGAGCUAAUACAUGCUGAAAACCCCAACUUCGGGAGGGGUGUAUUUAUUAGAUAAAAAACCAACGCCCUUCGGGGCUUCUUGGUGAUUCAUGAUAACUUUACGGAUCGCAUGGCCUUGCGCCGGCGACGGUUCAUUCAAAUUUCUGCCCUAUCAACUUUCGAUGGUAAGGUAUUGGCUUACCAUGGUUUCAACGGGUAACGGGGAAUUAGGGUUCGAUUCCGGAGAGGGAGCCUGAGAAACGGCUACCACAUCCAAGGAAGGCAGCAGGCGCGCAAAUUACCCAAUCCCGACACGGGGAGGUAGUGACAAUAAAUACUGAUACAGGGCUCUUUUGGGUCUUGUAAUUGGAAUGAGUACAAUUUAAACCUCUUAACGAGGAACAAUUGGAGGGCAAGUCUGGUGCCAGCAGCCGCGGUAAUUCCAGCUCCAAUAGCGUAUAUUAAAGUUGUUGCAGUUAAAAAGCUCGUAGUUGAAACUUGGGUCUGGCUGGCAGGUCCGCCUCACCGCGUGUACUUGUCCGGCCGGGCCUUCCUUCUGGAGAACCUCAUGCCCUUCACUGGGCGUGUUGGGGACCAGGACUUUUACUUUGAAAAAAUUAGAGUGUUCAAAGCAGGCCUUUGCUCGAAUACGUUAGCAUGGAAUAAUAGAAUAGGACGUGCGGUUCUAUUUUGUUGGUUUCUAGGACCGCCGUAAUGAUUAAUAGGGACAGUCGGGGGCAUCAGUAUUCAAUUGUCAGAGGUGAAAUUCUUGGAUUUAUUGAAGACUAACUACUGCGAAAGCAUUUGCCAAGGAUGUUUUCAUUAAUCAGUGAACGAAAGUUAGGGGAUCGAAGACGAUCAGAUACCGUCGUAGUCUUAACCGUAAACUAUGCCGACUAGGGAUCGGGCGAUGUUCUUUUUUUUGAC
rnacentral:rRNA from 1 species